rnacentral:rRNA from 1 species
AUAACAUACCCUUAGGACUGGGAUAACUCUGGGAAGCUGGGGAUAAUACCGGAUAUUAGGCUAUGCCUGGAAUGGUUUGCCUUUGAAACGUUCUUUUCGCCUAAGGAUAGAUCUGCGGCUGAUUAGGUCGUUGGUGGGGUAAUGGCCCACCAAGCCUAUGAUCGGUACGGGUUGUGAGAGCAAGAGCCCGGAGAUGGAACCUGAGACAAGGUUCCAGACCCUAUGGGGUGCAGCAGGCGCGAAACCUCCACAAUGUACGAAAGUGCGAUGGGGGAAUCCCAAGUGUUAUUCUUAACAGAAUAGCUUUUCAUUAGUGUAAAAAGCUUUUAGAAUAAGAGCUGGGCAAGACCGGUGCCAGCCGCCGCGGUAACACCGGCAGCUCGAGUGGCAGCUGUUUUUAUUGGGCCUAAAGCGUUCGUAGCCGGUUUGAUUAGUCUUUGGUGAAAGCUUGUAGCUUAACUAUAAGAAUUGCUGGAGAUACUAUCAGACUUGAAGUCGGGAGUGGUUAGAGGUACUACCGGGGUAGGGGUGAAAUCCUAUAAUCCUGGGAGGACCACCCGUGGCGAAAGCGUCUAACUAGAACGAUCUUGACGGUGAGUAACGAAAGCCAGGGGCGCGAACCGGAUUAGAUACCCGGGUAGUCCUGGCCGUAAACGAUGUGGACUUGGUGUUGGAAUGGCUUCGAGUUGUUCCAGUGCCGAAGGGAAGCUGUUAAGUCCACCGCCUGGGAAGUACGGUCGCAAGACUGAAACUUAA